GACCUUCGUUCCACUGGGCUGUGGGGAUCUCUUUCCUCCUCAGCCAGGGCUUGGGGCCAAGAUCAGCCCUUGAGGUCCGUCCGUGGGUCACCAGCAUAAGGACUGGCAUGAGUGGGCAGCCAUUUUCCCACCCCAGACAAUC